AACGCACAUUGCGCUCCCGGGUAUUCCUGGGAGCACGCCUGUUUGAGAAUCGAUAAAUCCCUCUCGGAGCAAGUCUGUUUCGGACUUUAUUGCCUGGAGCCGACUUGAACUGACGGAUGUGGGUCUCAUUUGGACCGGCGACGGAACAAUGACCUUAAAUUGAAUGUCCACAGCUGUCACUUUCGACCUGGUGAGGUAAAUGCCCUUGAUUGGGCAGGCCCUCGAGCGUGCUAGAAUGUAAAAAACUUUAGUCUCGCUUGUUAAAAGGCUGCUCGCCGCAUGUUUAGGAUUGGCUGUGUGGAACUCAACGAUUUUGCGGGCAGUACUGGGUGCAGUUUGCUCCCUUUCGCCCUAAAACUUGGUCUCAAAUCAGGCGGGAAAACCCGCUGAACUUAA
rnacentral:misc_RNA from 1 species